GACGAACGCUGGCGGCGUGCUUAACACAUGCAAGUCGAACGAUGAACUUGGAGCUUGCUCUGGGGGAUUAGUGGCGAACGGGUGAGUAACACGUGAGUAACUUGCCCUGGACUCUGGGAUAACUUCGAGAAAUCGGAGCUAAUACCGGAUAGGACCUUGCACCGCAUGGUGUGGGGUGGAAAGUUUUUCGGUUUGGGAUGGACUCGCGGCCUAUCAGCUUGUUGGUGAGGUAAUGGCUCACCAAGGCGUCGACGGGUAGCCGGCCUGAGAGGGUGACCGGCCACACUGGGACUGAGACACGGCCCAGACUCCUACGGGAGGCAGCAGUGGGGAAUAUCGCACAAUGGGCGCAAGCCUGAUGCAGCAACGCCGCGUGCGGGAUGACGGCCUUCGGGUUGUAAACCGCUUUUAGUAGGGAAGAAGCCUUCGGGUGACGGUACCUGCAGAAAAAGGACCGGCUAACUACGUGCCAGCCGCCGCCGUAAUAC
rnacentral:rRNA from 1 species